rnacentral:rRNA from 1 species
UACCAGCACCCCGAGUGGUCGGGACGUUUAUUGGGCCUAAAGCAUCCGUAGCCGGUUCUACAAGUCUUCCGUUAAAUCCAACUGCUUAACAGGUGGGCUGCGGAAGAUACUAUAGAGCUAGGAGGCGGGAGAGGCAAGCGGUACUCGAUGGGUAGGGGUAAAAUCCGUUGAUCCAUUGAAGAUCACCAGUGGCGAAGGCGGCUUGCCAGAACGCGCUCGACGGCGAGGGAUGAAAGCUGGGGGAGCAAACCGG